rnacentral:rRNA from 1 species
GUGGACGCCAGUCUGCAUGGAGCCGACCUUGAAAUACCACCCUUUAAUGUUUGAUGUUCUAACGUGGACCCGUAAUCCGGGUUGCGGACAGUGUCUGGUGGGUAGUUUGACUGGGGCGGUCUCCUCCUAAAGAGUAACGGAGGAGCACGAAGGUUGGCUAAUCCUGGUCGGACAUCAGGAGGUUAGUGCAAUGGCAUAAGCCAGCUUGACUGCGAGCGUGACGGCGCGAGCAGGUGCGAAAGCAGGUCAUAGUGAUCCGGUGGUUCUGAAUGGAAGGGCCAUCGCUCAACGGAUAAAAGGUACUCCGGGGAUAACAGGCUGAUACCGCCCAAGAGUUCAUAUCGACGGCGGUGUUUGGCACCUCGAUGUCGGCUCAUCACAUCCUGGGGCUGAAGUAGGUCCCAAGGGUAUGGCUGUUCGCCAUUUAAAGUGGUACGCGAGCUGGGUUUAGAACGUCGUGAGACAGUUCGGUCCCUAUCUGCCGUGGGCGCUGGAGAACUGAGGGGGGCUGCUCCUAGUACGAGAGGACCGGAGUGGACGCAUCACUGGUGUUCGGGUUGUCAUGCCAAUGGCACUGCCCGGUAGCUAAAUGCGGAAGAGAUAAGUGCUGAAAGCAUCUAAGCACGAAACUUGCCCCGAGAUGAGUUCUCCCUGAGACUUA